UAAGGGUAGAGUUAAAAGCCAAAUCUGCCAUGUAGUAAGUAGUACAUGAAGCCAGGAGGAAGGAUCCAGGAUACAAACCAUGACAGAAUACACACACAUUUUGGAGAUGCAUGCUUUCUCAAAGCUCUGAGGACCAUCAUGAAGACAUAUUAACUGAAAGAAUAUGAAGCCAUGUGAAUAGGUCCUAACUAUUGGAGACUAUACAAGACGCAUGACACCAAACUGUGGUUGUCUUUUGGUGAAGAUCUCAGAAGUUUCCACUCAUGGCAAAAGGUAGGUAAAGAAGGAGCUAAUGAAGAAAAAGAAACAAGCUGUCAAGAGGUGGGAAGAGAACCAGGACAACACAGCAUCAUGUCAGACAAUAAAAUAGUGUAAUUUCAA